GACGAACGCUGGCGGCGUGCUUAACACAUGCAAGUCGAACGGAAAGGCCCUGCGUUUUUGGUCUGCCCGAGUGGGGAACGCGUGAGUAACACGUGAGUAACCUGCCCUUCACUUUGGGGUAACUUCAGGUAACUGGGGCUAAUACCGGACAGGAGCUCCCGCUGCAUGGUGGGGGGUGGAAAGUUUCGGCGGUCGGGGUUGGACUCGCGGCUUAUCAGCUUGCUGGUGGGGUAGUGGCUUACCCAGGCUUUGACGGGUAGCCGGCCUGGGAGGGUGACCGGCCACAUUGGGACUAAGGUACGGCCCAGACUCCUACGGGAGGCAGAAGUGGGGAAUAUUGCACAAUGGGCGGAAGCCUGAUGCAGCAACGCCGCGUGCGGGAUGACGGCCUUCGGGUUGUAAACCGCUUUCGCCUGUGACGAAGCGUGAGUGACGGUAAUGGAUAAAGAAGCACCGGCUAACUACGUG
rnacentral:rRNA from 1 species